ACGCGGUCUCUGGGCUGGCUGAGCUGCCCCGCUGCAGGUAGUGCUGAGUUGCUCCAGUGCCACUGGGUUAGGGUCUCCACAACCGAGCUGGUCUCAGCAAGUGGUGUCCAUACAUGGGGCUCGAACCUGGGUCAAAGGGUCGCCAGAGCGACGGUUGGAGAACGUGGAACUAAGCUGGAGGACACCUGAGUACUCUUAAGCAAUCCCCAUGGACCAAAUCAACUGCCAAUUUGGAUAUCAUCGAGGCACCUGAAACCUUAUCAUGAGCCUGAUGCUGAGGAAUAGAUUCUGGGAGGAUCCUGAGGAUCCCCCGGUUGCAGCCAUGUUGAGACUGACACUGAGGGGGACCCCAACUGUCACGAGCAACACCCAUCAAAUGCAGCCACCUACCUGGGGACAGAUCAAGAAGCUGUCACAGAUGGCAGAAGAAAACCUAAGGAAAGUGGGACAACCAGUCACAAUGAGUAAUUUAAUGAUAGCUAUGAUAGUGGUGAUCACCAUUGCCAUGAGUAUUCCUUCAACAAGGGCUGGCACAGAGGACAAUUAUACUUAUUGGGCAUAUUUAUCAAUCUUGGCUGGCAAUAAUGCCUGGAUGUAAUCACUCUAUGACACAGUUACACAUGCUUUCUGGUCUCCGUAUUUACCAUAAUAAAUCUGCUCCUGUAAUUGAGGUAUACUGCCCUCAAAAACCUAUUUGUAAACAGAAUUGGACCUGGCUAGAAAUAAUGAACGUAUUUGUUUGGGAAGAUUGCAUUGCAAAACAGGCAGAGGUGCUGUGCAACAAUUCCCAUGGAAUCAUUAUUGAUUGGUCCCCUAAGGGGAUGUUUAGCUUGAAUUGCACCUCUCAGUCUGUGUGCCACAGCCACACUAUGUUCAGCUGGUCUGAACAAAAUGGUCAAAUGGUAGAAAUGGUAAGAAGUAUGGCAAGAGUUCCUAUUAUUUGAAAACACGGUGGUAUAGUGGCACCUCAACCUCAAAUGAUAUGGCCCGCUCUAGGAGCUUAACAUAAGGAUUUGUGGAAACUAUUAAUGGCUCUUAAUAAGAUCAAAAUUUGGGAGAGAGUAAAAAAGCAUCUAGAAGGACACUCUACAAACUUGUCUUUGGAUAUUGCAAAAUUAAAAGAACAAAUAUUUAAAGCAUCCCAGGCACACCUGACCUUAAUGCCAGAAAUAGGAGUGCUUGAAGGAGUGCAGACAGAUUAGCAGGUAGUAACCCAUUAAAAUAGAUAAAAACACUUGGAAGCUCUGUGAUUUCAAUGAUGAUGGUGCUUUUAAUCUGUGUUGUUUGUCUUUGUAUAGUCUGCAGCUCCCGACUCCUGCAAGAAGUAGCUCACCAUGAUAAAGCCACCUUUGCAUUUAUCAUCUUGCAAAAACAAAAAGGGGGAACAUGUUGGGAACAGGCCCCCAAAUCUGGCCAUAAACUGGCCCCAAAACUGACCAUAAACAAAAUCUCUGCAGCACUGUGACAUGUUCGUGAUGGCUAUGACACCCACCCUGAAGGUUGUGGGUUUACUGUAAUGAGGGCAAGGAACACCUGGCCCACCCAGGGCAGAAAACUGCUUAAGGCAUUCCUAAGCCACAGACAAUAGCAUGAGUGAUCUAUGCAUUAAGGACGUGUUCCUGCUGCAGAUAACUAGCCCAACCCAUCCUUUUGUUUUGGCCCAUCCCUUUGUUUCCUGUAAGGAAUGCUUUUAGUUAAUCUGUAAUCUAUAGAAACAAUGCUUAUCACUGGCUUGCUGUCAGUAAAUAUGUGGGUUAAACUCUGUUUGGGGCUCUCAGAUCUGAAGGCUGUCAGCCCCCUGGAUAUCCCACUCCACACUCUAUAGUUCUGUGUGUGUGUGUGUGUGUGUGUGUGUGUGUGUGUGUUUCUUUAAUUCCUCUAGUGCUGCUGGGUUAGGGUCUCCACGACUGAGCUAGUCUCAGCAGUAUAAAAAUCAGAAUAUUAAUUUGGCAACAUUUGGUAACAUCAAGGCAGAAUAUUUAUCAGAAAUCAAAUGUUAUCACCAAAAAUCUACUCUACUUUGUUAUCCAGGAGAUGCAAUACAAAACCCAUUAAUUAAAACAUUAACAGAUACUAUUAAAAUACUUUGGGAUAAGGUCAGAAAUGCUAAAUGUUACUUAUUAUUUUAGACACAUUACCUGAUGUGAGGCAUAUAGUGCAGAUGAUUAUGGUUAGAGUUGUGAUUUUCUAAACUCAAAUACUUCUAUAUGUGAACAUUUUUGGGAGAUUUUUGUCACAACUGGAGAAAGAUUAUUUUUAAAUUUUAGUAAACUACUUACAAAAACUGAACCAGACAAAAAUAAUUCAAGAAGCUAGAAAUAUGACAACAUGGUGCAAUAGGAAAUCCUUGAAUAAAAAAUAUAUAUAUGUAUAUAUACACCAUAAAAUAUAGAAUGGUAUAUUCUGUAUCAUUCUAUAUUCCUUUUCUAAAGCAUCAUUAUUAUUAUUUGAGAUGAGGGGGAGAUCUAACCGUGUUGCCUGGGCUGGUCUUGAACCCCUGUCCUCAAGCAAUCUUCCUUCCUCAGCCUCCUGAGUAGUUGGGAUUACAGACACAUACCACUAUGCCCACCUUAAAGCUUGCUUGCUUGCUUGCUUUUUUUUUUUUUUUUUUUUUUUUUGAGACAGGAUCUUGCUCUGUUGCUCAGGUUGGAGUGAAGUGGCACGAUCUCAGCUCACUGCAACACUCCAGCCUGAGCAACAGAGCAGACUCCAUCUUGGGGAAAGAAAGAAAAAAAAAAAGAACUAUACAUCUACCAAAAGCUUCAGUUAAAUGUUUGGGUAUAUUGAAAACACACUGGAUAUAAAUUUGAAACCACUGUUAAACGUGUGACAGGAAAAUUGAGUUGAGACUGCCAUGCCCGUGUCAACUGACCAUGGGUUCUUGGGCUCUCAAUGCAAUAGAACAUUGACAUGAGGCCAAAAGAGUUUUCUCAAAGCUUCACUGGAGCUUUUGUCCAGCCGUAAGGGAGGCAGAACGAGAGAGAAAGAGAGAGAGAGAGAGAGACAGAGAGAGAGAGAGAAUUCCCUGACAGACUCCACCUAUAAAAGAACAGGUAGGACUUUUUUAUUAGGCAAAGUACAGAACUGACAUCAGAAGUAGAGUGUACACAGGCUGGGCAAGGCAAACGAUGUGAGGGGUAGGGUAGCAGGUCAGCAUAUCCAGAUGUGAUGGUUAUCUUGAGUAAUGGGCCACCUGGUAGUCUGGCCUGUGACAACAAGACUAUAAAUCAAUUGUCCAGCAGCAUUCCUUUCUGAGGUGGGACACUCUGCAACCUUGGUUAGCUCCUAAAGCCAGGUCCUGGAAUUCUUUAAGUGAAAAGACUAUUAGCAGCGAGGUAAUGGUGUGGGUUUUGUGAUGUGUGGGAAUGCUCUAAUGGGGAUGAGCCAAAGCCAGGCUCUGUCUCUACUGUGUCUCACCAGUAAAAACACAAUUACAAACAGCAUGCAAUGCUCUUUUUUGUGAUGAUGGUUAAUAAAGAAUACACGUUCUAAAAU
rnacentral:antisense_RNA from 1 species